rnacentral:tRNA from 1 species
CCUGGUAGCUCAACUGGUAAAGAAUCUGCCUGCAAUGCAGGAGACCCUGGUUCAAUUCCUGGGUCAGGA